AUUGAACGCUGGCGGCAGGCCUAACACAUGCAAGUCGAGCGGAUCGGCGGACGGGUGCGUAAUGCCUAGGAAUCUGCCUGGUAGUGGGGGAUAACGUCCGGUAAUGGGCGCUAAUACCGCAUACUAUCAGAUGAGCCUAGAUCGGUUUAGCUAGUGGGUGGGGUAAAGGCCUACCAAGGCGACGAUCCGUAACUGGUCUGAGAGGAGGAUCAGUCACACUGGGACUGAGACACGGUCCAGACUCCUACGGGAGGCAGCAGUGGGGAAUAUUGGACAAUGGGCGAAAGCCUGAUACAGCCAUGCCGCGUGUGUGAAGAAGGUCUUCGGGUUGUAAAGCACUUUCAGUUGGGAGGCGUUACCAACAGAAUAAGCACCGGCUAACUUCGUGCCAGCAGCCGCGGUAAUUC
rnacentral:rRNA from 1 species